rnacentral:rRNA from 1 species
UACGUAGGGGGCAAGCGUUGUCCGGAAUCAUUGGGCGUAAAGAGCGUGUAGGCGGUUCGGUAAGUCGGCUGUGAAAGUCCAGGGCUCAACCCUGGGAUGCCGGUCGAUACUGCCGGACUAGAGUUCGGAAGAGGCGAGUGGAAUUCCCGGUGUAGCGGUGAAAUGCGCAAAUAUCGGGAGGAACACCUAUGGCGAAGGCAGCUCGCUGGGACGUUACUGACGCUGAGACGCGAAAGCGUGGGGAGCAAACAGG